rnacentral:piRNA from 1 species
UGCUGUGUGAAGGCAACCCUUUG